GCCCCGUGAUGAUACCAAGGCGAAUGUGAGCUCACUGGAUGGAAGUCCGAGUUCUUCUCUGUGCUCCUGUUGGCUGGUAAUCUUGACGAUGCAGUGGAGAUUUGCUGCACUGUUGUAAGGGCCAGCCUACAGUCAUUAAACACCUUCAUUCACACUCUCCUUUAGAGUAAUGUAGGAGAGACUGAACUGUGGUGCUAACAUUGUGUGCAUGUGUACUUCUGGACGCAGAAAGAAUCUCAGCUUUGUUGGAUCCAGUGUGCUUUGAGCUGCAUCUUUGGUAAUCUGAGGGUG